GAAACGACUGCUAAGACUGGAUAGGAGACAAGAAGGCAUCUUCUUGUUUUUAAAAGACCUAGCAAUAGGUAUGCUUAGGGAGGAGCUUGCGUCACAUUAGUUAGUUGGUGGGGUAAAGGCCUACCAAGACUAUGAUGUGUAGCCGGGCUGAGAGGUUGAACGGCCACAUUGGGACUGAGACACGGCCCAAACUCCUACGGGAGGCAGCAGUAGGGAAUUUUCGGCAAUGGAGGAAACUCUGACCGAGCAACGCCGCGUGAACGAUGAAGUAUUUCGGUACGUAAAGUUCUUUUAUUAGGGAAGAAUAAAUGAUGGAAAAAUCAUUCUGACGGUACCUAAUGAAUAAGCCCCGGCUAACUAUGUGCCAGCAGCCGCGGUAAUACAUAGGGGGCAAGCGUUAUCCGGAAUUAUUGGGCGUAAAGGGUGCGUAGGCGGUUAAAUAAGUUUAUGGUCUAAGUGCAAUGCUCAACAUUGUGAUGCUAUAAAAACUGUUUAGCUAGAGUAAGAUAGAGGCAAGUGGAAUUCCAUGUGUAGUGGUAAAAUGCGUAAAUAUAUGGAGGAACACCAGUAGCGAAGGCGGCUUGCUGGGUCUUUACUGACGCUGAAGCACGAAAGCGUGGGGAGCAAACAGGAUUAGAUACCCUGGUAGUCCACGCCGUAAACGAUGAGUACUAAACGUUGGGUAAAACCAGUGUUGAAGUUAACACAUUAAGUACUCCGCCUGAGUAGUACGUACGCAAGUAUGAAACUUAAAGGAAUUGACGGGACUCCGCACAAGCGGUGGAUCAUGUUGUUUAAUUCGAAGGUACCCGAAAAACCUCACCAGGUCUUGACAUGCUUCUGCAAAGCUGUAGAAACACAGUGGAGGUUAUCAGUUGCACAGGUGGUGCAUGGUUGUCGUCAGCUCGUGUCGUGAGAUGUUGGGUUAAGUCCCGCAACGAGCGCAACCCUUAUUGUUAGUUACCAGCACGUAAUGGUGGGGACUUUAGCAAGACUGCCAGUGAUAAAUUGGAGGAAGGUGGGGACGACGUCAAAUCAUCAUGCCCCUUAUGACCUGGGCUACAAACGUGAUACAAUGGCUGUUACAAAGGGUAGCUGAAGCGCAAGUUUUUGGCGAAUCUCAAAAAAACAGUCUCAGUUCGGAUUGAAGUCUGCAACUCGACUUCAUGAAGUUGGAAUCGCUAGUAAUCGCGAAUCAGCAUGUCGCGGUGAAUACGUUCUCGGGGUUUGUACACACCGCCCGUCA
rnacentral:rRNA from 1 species